GAGAGAGAGAGGGAGAGAGAGAGAGGGAGGGAGAGACCAGCCUGCCGAGAGGAGCGGCAGGCAGGAGGGGAAUCUGGCACAACGGCUGGGAGAGGAAACUUGACGCUUCUGGGCCACCAUUUGCCAGGGCCUCGCUCGAGACGCCGAAAGGAGCAUGCUUUUGCACUGCGGCCGCCCUGUGUGUGACUGACUCUGGAUCUUGUCUUCUGGCCAGCGCCUCGAUUCCUGCUCAGCUGGAUUUGGGGGGCAACACUGCCUCGAGCAGGGAGGAGAGCAAAAGAGACUACAAAGAAGCAUAAAAUGAAUAGACAAUACAACCAGCCAAAGACCGGGGGCAGCAGCACACCAGCAAGACGGCAUCUUCUCUUCCCCAGCCUAGAAGCCCUGUGAAAUCGAGGAUCUUCCCCCUAAAACACACACACACAAGAUAUGUGCAAUCAAGCUGCCACCGCUUGGUAAAAAGCUCAUGGUGCCUAACCCAAAAGGAUCAGGAGCAGAUCCCUGAAUCAGCUGUCACCUCUUCUAUAGAAUGGGAUGUUUUUUUUCCUUCCUCCUUAACCUGCGCUGGAAAUUGCCGUUGGCUUUAUACAUCUCUAUAGAGGGAGGCUAAAGAGUCUUGCGUGAGAAUGAAGCAAUUUACAAUGCAAAUAGAGGCCUGUGGAGGGACGGAUGCUGCUGCACACUCCUAACCGCCCGCUGCAUCUUAAUAGCUGGUUUUAUUUUCUGAUAUUAAUAGAUGAAUUGUUGGCUAACGCUGCCGGAGAUUACUUGCUGAAAGGAAAAAAAAAAGUUCGGAAUAAACUUUGAAAGCAACAGAUCUCGUUUGGAUGUUUUAGCCGCACACACAAACAGAAACCAGGUCAUAUUCACAUACAAGAAGGAAUCUUGUGCACGGCAAGUGUCCUGGAGGACUGCUCUUCGGUACUGCCAGAGAGAGCGGGAUCUGGAAUCUGGCCAGAGGAAGACAGAGGCGUGUGAGGGAAGCGAGUUGUUAUCUUUGGUUAUCUAGCUGUAUGAGUGUAUUGGUCUUCAUAAAGCUAGAUAACCGAAAGUAAAAACUCCUUCAAGAUCGCCGGGGAGCGUGUGAGAAUGAAAGACUACAACCAAGAGACAGUAAAAACCAGAAAGGUCAGGAAUACUUAUUGAAUCUAACUUUGCUUUUGUUUUUGUUUUUGUUCUUUUUCCUUAUGUUAGAGGUGGGAUUAGAAGAAAUUAAGUGACACACAGAUGCCAAAAUAGAAAGGUGUCAGCUACUUUGAGAGGUGUUGUUACAGCUGCCGAGGAGAAUUGUAUAGUGCUAAUCAGUAAAGAUGCAUGUAUAGUUUUUAAGGCCAAAGUUUAUACGAGGUCCCCCCCCCCUUAGAAAGCUGUUGUAGAGACGUCUGGUAUCUAGUUUAAGAAUGAUUUCAUAAUACAUAGACUUAGGCUAUUUACUUCUGAGGUCUCACUCCCCUGAAAAAUUUGAAGACUGUGUUUGGAAACUACAUGUACUGGGGUUGUAUAUCAAAUUAUAUUAAAUUAGACUUUCAGAAAAGUUUAUAAUGGAAGGUUAAUAAUUUGUAACUACUGAGGACAUACAGCUAGCAGAGAAAAUGCAAAAACACACACACACACACACACACACACACACACACACACAGCAAAGGCUGAUUUUUUAUUCUUCUAUUCAAAAUACAAGGACAGAUGCUUCUCUGUUCCAAGAGGGUUUCCUUGAGGAAGCUACUGAAGCAGAAAGACAUGAUGGAGACGAGAUCGCCUCCCCUCUUGUCAAAGUGUUAAAAAAAUGUUCUGUCUUACUCUGCGCCUAGCAUUGGAAAUGAAAGUGACAUUUACGCCACAACCCACGUGUGCGCCUCCUCUCUUUUUGUUUAAGGAUGAUCAGGUCUAUCCAGGAAACAGCUCUGGCAUCCCAAACUGAAAUAAUUAGGACGUAUAUAGACCUGACAAAAAUGGAAAGGGGGUGGGGAAUCUGAGGGUCUGUCUUGCCUAAUUGAUUCCGAUAAACGGAAUGCAGGAGAUGUGAACGGCAGGACGCUCCGAUUCCCACGCUCGGGGGCAAGUGGUAAAGCGGGCCGGCAGCCUAUGACAGACAGCCCUGUUGGGGGGUGGGGGUAUGAAAAAAACAUCAAGCGCACACACCAUACUCAUCUCCAUCGCUUAAGAAAGUAGAGGCAUUUCCCACCCACAGCCAUCUGCAGCCUCCCAAAUGGUAGCACCAACUGGUCUGUAGCUGCUGCAUACAUGCUGUCUGUUUCUGUUAAUUCUGUAACCACUGUUUAAUUUGGCCAUAAUUAAGUUCAAGUUUCUUCUUUGGUUAAGAUUUUCAAUAUUUAAGGAAAGCUAGUAGAAAGCAGUUCCAAAAAGUUUCCGCCUGCCCUUCGUGUCAAAUUCUCAGUCUGUACUUUUGGCCUUGUGACUGCCUUUUGACUUGUUUGGGGUGGAUUAUAUUUAAAAAUGCAACUUUAUAUAACAGACAUUAUUAUUGCGUCAUCAGGCUGUUUACCCCUUGACAUGAUCUAUGUAGGAACUUGGCCUGAUUAUGCCAGUAGACACAGUGGAAGUAAAACUAUAAAAUCAUCAGCCUAUAGAAAGUUAAUUACAAUAAUAAUACGAUAAAAUGUUGUUUUGAUAUAGUUCCAGUGAGAUGCAUUCUAAACAGCCAUUUUUAUUUACUCUAAAAAUGACUAUACUUAGCAGAAACUUUGGGACUUUGGAGGUCCCCACUGUAAUCUUUUCAUAAAAGUUCUUACAUUGUUCCACGUGUCAACAAGCAAACAUUUGUAUAGGCAUUAAACGUAAAUACAAACAUUGCAAUAAGAAAAUGCCUAACAUGGCCUGUUAUCUUCCAUGUGGCCUAGAUUACUGACAAUCCCAAAUCCCAAAUAUAUACAGUUUUUCUUGAAAAGCAUUACAUUUUUCUUUGUAGCUUCAGCACCUUAUAAGACUUCAGACUGGAAAAGCGUGUAAAACUACUGUUAGUUUCAGUUAGAAACUCUGAGAGACUUUAUUAACGUAAAUUCUCAUUAUGGCUGCUGAACACGUGCCAAAGUUUUACUACAGUAGUGACCGUUGAGAAGACCCUUGUUUAUUUACAUUUGAAGCACUGUUUGUGCAAACAACCUUUCAUUGUUAAGUGCCUGUAUUCCUUUCAUUUACUUCAUGUCCAGGGGUGCUAUUUACCUAGAACCAUUGUCUACUACAAUUAACAUUUACAUUACAAAGUGUGUGGUUUUCUUUCUCAAGGAGGUUCAAUUAAGGCAAUAAGAUGUUUGCUAGGGAAACCUAUUGUUUACUGAAAGCACUCAAUGGAGUCAAAUUACUGAAGCUUUUGCUUACAUCUUGGUCUUUUAUGUAAAUGUGUUAAAUAUAACAUCUAAGGAAAAUAAACAAUAUUAUAAUUAUGUGUUUGCCAUUGUCAUAUCAAACUUGCUUUGUACCAUACUAAUGUUACAUGACUUAUCAAUCAAUAAAAAUACAUUUCAAUGUUA